UCUCGAUUGGUCUAGUGGUAAGGAUACCUGCUUGUCAUUUGAUGAUUCUUGAAUGGUGCAAACCGCAGGUGGCCGGGGUUCGAUUCCCCGAUCGAGAG